rnacentral:rRNA from 1 species
UGGGGAAUUUUGGACAAUGGGCGAAAGCCUGAUCCAGCAAUGCCGCGUGUGUGAAGAAGGCCUUCGGGUUGUAAAGCACUUUUGUCCGGAAAGAAAUCCUUGGCUCUAAUACAGUCGGGGGAUGACGGUACCGGAAGAAUAAGCACCGGCUAACUACGUGCCAGCAGCCGCGGUAAUACGUAGGGUGCAAGCGUUAAUCGGAAUUACUGGGCGUAAAGCGUGCGCAGGCGGUUUGCUAAGACCGAUGUGAAAUCCCCGGGCUCAACCUGGGAACUGCAUUGGUGACUGGCAGGCUAGAGUAUGGCAGAGGGGGGUAGAAUUCCACGUGUAGCAGUGAAAUGCGUAGAGAUGUGGAGGAAUACCGAUGGCGAAGGACAGCCCCCUGGGCCAAUACUGACGCUCAUGCACGAAAGCGUGGGGAGCAAACAGGAUUAGAUACCCUGGUAGUCCACGCCCUAAAACGAUGUCAACUAGUUGUUGGGGAUUCAUUUCCUUAGUAACGUAGCUAACGCGUGAAGUUGACCGCCUGGGGAGUACGGUCGCAAGAUUAAAACUUAAAUGAAUUGACGGGGUCAUAGCUGUUUCCU